rnacentral:rRNA from 1 species
GAUUGAACGCUGGCGGCAGGCCUAACACAUGCAAGUCGAACGGUAGCACAGAGAGCUUGCUCUCGGGUGACGAGUGGCGGACGGGUGAGUAAUGUCUGGGAAACUGCCUGAUGGAGGGGGAUAACUACUGGAAACGGUAGCUAAUACCGCAUAACGUCGCAAGACCAAAGAGGGGGACCUUCGGGCCUCUUGCCAUCAGAUGUGCCCAGAUGGGAUUAGCUAGUAGGUGGGGUAACGGCUCACCUAGGCGACGAUCCCUAGCUGGUCUGAGAGGAUGACCAGCCACACUGGAACUGAGACACGGUCCAGACUCCUACGGGAGGCAGCAGUGGGGAAUAUUGCACAAUGGGCGCAAGCCUGAUGCAGCCAUGCCGCGUGUAUGAAGAAGGCCUUCGGGUUGUAAAG